rnacentral:rRNA from 1 species
GAUGAACGCUGGCGGCGUGCUUAACACAUGCAAGUCGAACGGAAAGGCCCAAGCUUGCUUGGGUACUCGAGUGGCGACCGGGUGAGUAACACGUGGGUGAUCUGCCCUGCACUUCGGGAUAAGCCUGGGAAACUGGGUCUAAUACCGGAUAGACCGAUGGUUUGGAUGCCAUUGUGGAAGGUUUUUUCGGUGUGGGAUGAGCUCGCGGCCUAUCAGCUUGUUGGUGGGGUAAUGGCCUACCAAGGCGUCGACGGGUAGCCGGCCGGAGAGGGUGUACGGCCACAUUGGGACUGAGAUACGGCCCAGACUCCUACGGGAGGCAGCAGUGGGGAAUAUUGCACAAUGGGCGCAAGCCUGAUGCAGCGACGCCGCGUGGGGGAUGACGGCCUUCGGGUUGUAAACUCCUUUCGCUAGGGACGAAGCGUUUUUGUGACGGUACCUGGAGAAGAAGCACCGGCUAACUACGU